AGAGUUUGAUCCUGGCUCAGGAUGAACGCUGGCGGCGUGCCUAAUACAUGCAAGUCGAACGCACUGUGGUUCAACUGAUUUGAAGAGCUUGCUCUGAUAUGACGAUGAACAUUGCAGUGAGUGGCGAACGGGUGAGUAACACGUGGGAAACCUACCUCUUAGCGGGGGAUAACAUCUGGAAACAGAUGCUAAUACCGCAUAACACUAGCAACCGCAUGGUUGCUACUUGAAAGAUGGUUCUGCUAUCACUAAGAGAUGGUCCCGCGGCGCAUUAGUUAGUUGGUGAGGUAAUGGCUCACCAAGACGAUGAUGCGUAGCCGAGUUGAGAGACUGAUCGGCCACAAUGGGACUGAGACACGGCCCAUACUCCUACGGGAGGCAGCAGUAGGGAAUCUUCCACAAUGGACGAAAGUCUGAUGGAGCAACGCCGCGUGUGUGAUGAAGGGUUUCGGCUCGUAAAACACUGUUGUAAGAGAAGAAUAGCAUCAAGAGUAACUGCUUGGUGUGUGACGGUAUCUUACCAGAAAGGAACGGCUAAAUACGUGCCAGCAGCCGCGGUAAUACGUAUGUUCCAAGCGUUAUCCGGAUUUAUUGGGCGUAAGCGAGCGCAGACGGUUUUUUAAGUCCGACGUGAAAGCCCACAGCUUAACUGUGGAAGUGCUUUGGAAAACUGGGAUGACUUGAGUGCAGUAAAGGAGAGUGGAAUUCCAUGUGUAGCGGUGAAAUGCCUAAAUAUAUGGAGGAACACCAAUGGGCGAGGGCGGGCCUCCUGGGACUGUAACUGACGUUGAAGC
rnacentral:rRNA from 1 species